rnacentral:rRNA from 1 species
AUUGAACGCUGGCGGCAAGCCUAACACAUGCAAGUCGAACGAGUGGCGGACGGGUGAGUAAUGUCUGGGAAACUGCCUGAUGGGGGGGGAUAACUACUGGAAACGGUAGCUAAUACCGCAUACCAUCGGAUGUGCCCAGAUGGGAUUAGCUAGUAGGGGGGGUAAAGGCUCACCUAGGCGACGAUCCCUAGCUGGUCUGAGAGGAUGACCAGCCACACUGGCACUGAGACACGGUCCAGACUCCUACGGGAGGCAGCAGUGGGGAAUAUUGCACAAUGGGCGCAAGCCUGAUGCAGCCAUGUUGCGUGUAUGAAGAAGGCCUUCGGGUUGUAAAGUACUCUCAGCGGCGAGGCGUUUCCCGCACCAGAAGCACUGGCUAACCCCGUGCCAGCAGCCGCGGUAAUAC